GUUUUAAUGGGCCAAUGGAUAACGCAUCUGACUACGGAUCAGAAGAUUCUAGGUCCAACUCCUGGCUGGCUCA